rnacentral:rRNA from 1 species
AUACAUGCAAGUAGGACGCACAGUUUAUACCGUAGCUUGCUACACCAUAGACUGUGAGUUGCGAACGGGUGAGUAACGCGUAGGUAACCUGCCUAUUAGAGGGGGAUAACUAUUGGGAACGAUAGCUAAUACCGCAUAACAGUAUGUAACACAUGUUAGAUGCUUAAAAGAUGCAAUUGCAUCGCUAGUAGAUGGACCUGCGUUGUAUUAGCUAGUAGGUAGGGUAAAGGCCUACCUAGGCAACGAUACAUAGCCGACCUGAGAGGGUGAUCGGCCACACUGGGACUGAGACACGGCCCAGACUCCUACGGGAGGCAGCAGUAGGGAAUCUUCGGCAAUGGGGGGAACCCUGACCGAGCAACGCCGCGUGAGUGAAGAAGGUUUUCGGAUCGUAAAGCUCUGUUGUUAAGGAAGAACGAGUGUGAGAAUGGAAAGUUCAUGCUGUAGACGGUACUUAACC